rnacentral:lncRNA from 1 species
ACACACCUAAGCAAUAGCAUAUAAACCAAUUAUCACCGAAUAACGUAAUGCAAGAAAAAAAAAAAAAAUGGUUCUUUCAAUGUAGACCCUAACUAACUUUAGAUUCUCUUCUAAUGUACAGAAAAUAAAGAUUAAAAUUACACAGGUUAAUAAAUUACACAACAAAUUCAAAAUAAAAACUUAUACAAGAUAAGUAUGGUACUAAUGAAAAAUCAUUUAAAUUAAUUUACCUCUUCAAUCUCCUCCAAUGCCUCCAACAUAAUUUCUC